AGCGAACGCUGGCGGCAGGCCUAACACAUGCAAGUCGAACGAAGUCUUCGGACUUAGUGGCGGACAGGUGAGUAACACGUGGGAACGUGCCUUUAGGUUCGGAAUAACUCAGGGAAACUUGUGCUAAUACCGAAUGUGCCCUUCGGGGGAAAGAUUUAUCGCCUUUAGAGCGGCCCGCGUCUGAUUAGCUAGUUGGUGAGGUAAAGGCUCACCAAGGCGACGAUCAGUAGCUGGUCUGAGAGGAUGAUCAGCCACAUUGGGACUGAGACACGGCCCAAACUCCGACGGGAGGCGGCAGUGGGGAAUCUUGCACAAUGGGCGAAAGCCUGACGCAGCCAUGCCGCGUGAAUGAUGAAGGUCUUAGGAUUGUAAAAUUCUUUCCCCGGGGACGAUAAUGACGGUACCCGGAGAAGAAGCCCCGGCUAACUUCGUGCCAGCAGCCGCCGCCG
rnacentral:rRNA from 1 species